rnacentral:lncRNA from 13 species
GUGCUGGUAUCCCCCCCAUUCAUUCAUCCUGCUGCUUGGCUGUAGAUUUCCUGCUGUCAUGGUGUCAUUCAUCCUGCUGCUUUGCUGUAGAUUUCCUGCUGUCAUGGUGCUGGUAUCCCCCCAUUCAUUCAGGCUGCUGCUUGGCUGUAGAUUUCACGUCAUGGUGCUGGUAUCCCCCUCCAUUCUUUAUAAAAAAAAUGUUUACCCCUUUUUCUCCCCAAUUUCGUGGUAUCCAAUUGUUGUAGUAGAUACUAUCUUGUCUCAUCGCUACAACUCCCGUACGGGCUCGGGAGAGACGAAGGUUGAAAGUCAUGCGUUCUCCGAUACACAACCCAACCAGCCGCACUGCUUCUUAACACAGCGCGCAUCCAACCCGGAAGCCAGCCGCACCAAUGUGUCAGAGGCUACACCGUGCACCUGGCAACCUUGGUUAGCGUGCAUUGCGCCCGGCCCGCCACAGGAGUCGCUGGUGCGCAAUGAGACAAGGACAUCCCUACCGACCAAGCCCUCCCUAACCCGGACGACGCUAAGUUCCCUAACUCUAAAUCAAUAUAUUGCUUUAACUGAUUCUGUUGUCCUGAUCACUUCUUGCUGAUUUAUGUAUCCUCUGUAUGUAUUAUUGUUACUGUAAUUUAAUUAUGCCAAUGUGCUUUCAUUAAUUGAAAACCCUUAAUCUAUUUUAUGAGAAUUUGUAAGAUUCUUGAUCGCAUAAAAUAGACGGAGACCAGUCUUUCAAUAAUAGGUAACAGAAUCUAUUCUCGGAGCGUGCUCCCACUUUACCACGAGCAACAGUUUAUAUACAAAUCAUGACGUCAUUUCAUUGUUUUAACAGAAUCCCCUCCUCUCGACCGGGACAAAGUGAGGUGAAAAGUUCAUUCUAACUUACUAACACACUCCCAGGUAACUUUUGACCCCUCAACAUUAUCGAUCACCACUGAGCUGACAUUUCUAAUUAACAGAAAACCUAGGAAUGCACUCACUGUCUUAUCUAAAAACCCCAGAGCUAAGUUUAUGUAGGUUCAACCAUAGGUUAACGACCUUAUGUGUUUACACAGUCCACAACCCAUUAGUUUCUUCCUAGUUGUAAUGGUGUUCAUUAACUUUAAUUACUCCUUGUCCGUGUCACACAAUCCCAUCGUAUGAACUCAUAUUGUUAAUCAGAUAUAAUAAAACAGAGUAUAAGUUUACUUAGUUACAGUUCCAUUUAAAAUGAUUUGUUCAGUCAUUUAAUCAUAAUUUUACCAACAAUUAUGUAUGAAGCCUUGAACGUACAGGUCCCUCCACCAUUGCCUCCUGCCUCCCGUCCGGCUGAUGACCCAUCCCGUGCCCCCCAGGACCCACCCCUUGCCGUCCUGGACCAGGCCCACCAGAAUUCAUCCCAGGCUCCUGUCCUUGGGGCAAAGAGAAGAAGAGGAGGAUGUGCCCCGGCUGUCCUUCCUGCCUCCAAGGCCUGUCCAAGAAAGUGCUGAGGUGAAUAAAAAAUAAAUAAAUAGUAAUUGGAUAUUUAUAUUGGGUCGAACUGGAAAGUUAAUCUUCCAAUUCUAGUAAUUUUAACUCUUUCUUUAACUCCUCUCUCUUAAAUGUAGCUGCUGCUUCCAGAGAGCUGGCGGGAAACUCUCAACAAGGAGCAGCAGCGAUGGAUUGGCAGGAAGCUGUUUACCAGGAGCAGGUCCCAAUUUCAUCACAGACUUGCGUCCAUGGUGGUACCCUCCCCAACCCCGGCCGGUCUACAAUCAGCCAUCCGCAUCACCCGACCCCUUCUUUGCAUGUACGCUGUUCCUCUGGAUGCCCGUUUGUAUGUGGGCAUUCAACCACCCUCACCAAGGCUGUGCUGUACAAGACUAUCCGGAGGGUCUCGGACAUCAAGGAUUGGUAUCUCCUGGCCACUGAGUGCCUGGAGUGCCCUCGGUGUAAGAAGAACGUGGUGGGCUGAUUCUGAACUACAGGUAAGUGUGGAAAUGCAAUUUUUAUUUUUAUUUUCAGUGUUCAUAAACACAAUUAGAAUGAAUUGUAGUAGUUUUUGUUCUUUGUUGUAGUAGUAGUACAGUACAAUUGAGUAGACUAAAUGUCCCUCACCCUUUUCUCACUGCCCCUCUCUCCAGGUGUUCCUGUGACCUGGCGGUUGUGGGAAUGCUGAGGGAGUGCACUUUGGGGAACAGCGUCACUCAGCUAUACACCAAGCUGUGUGAGGGACACAGCGAAGCCUGGAUGCGGCGGUCUAAACAGUACCGCGGCGAGUGCAAGCACUUCCUUGCCUCGUGCGCCAUCCGGCCACAGUUCCCACCACUACCAGAAAUGCCAGUGGUGCCCUCACCCGUCUGGCUGCUGACCGUGUACAGCAUGGAUGUGCUUUUGUGGCUUGACAAGGUGAAGGCCAGGGUCACCUCUGUCUUUUGGUCCAUCUUAAAGAUGGACUCCAAGAAGAUGGUAACACUUGUCACACCAUUUGAAAGUAUACCAUACUUUCAUCCCUCUGCAACCCACUGACGCUCUCGCUCUUUACAGGUGACCAAGAAGCUCGCUGGUUACGCUUCGGACACGGGUGCUUGGGCCACACAUUGUGGAGAAUGAACACAGGCAUGCCCUCAACUGUGUCCUCACUGCUGGUGAGGGCGAGGGCCUGCUAGCCACGGCGGCCGGCCUUAUGAAGCGGUACCGACUCGCUGGGAUACCAGCCCCCCUCCCCCCCAGCUCAUGUACGUGGACCGGGACUGUUGCUCCAGCAGGUCCAAGACGGUUGCCAUGUUUGGGCUCCCGAGUGGCGCAGCAGUCUAAGGCACUGCAUCUCAGUGCUAGAGGUGUCAUUACAGACACCCUGGUUCGAAUCUAGGUUGUAUCACAACUGGCCGUAAUUGGGAGUCCCAUAGGGUGGCACACAAUUGGCCCAGCGUCAUCUAGGUUUUGAGUCUCAUAGCAAAGGGUCUGAAUACUUACAGUGCCUUGCGAAAGUAUUCGGCCCCCUUGAACUUUGCAACCUUUUGCCACAUUUCAGGCUUCAAACAUAAAGAUAUAAAACUGUAUUUUUUUGUGAAGAAUCAACAACAAGUGGGACACAAUCAUGAAGUGGAACGACAUUUAUUGGAUAUUUCAAACCUUUUUAACAAAUCAAAAACUGAAAAAUUGGGCGUGCAAAAUGAUUCAGCCCCUUUACUUUCAGUGCAGCAAACUCUCUCCAGAAGUUCAGUGAGGAUAUCUGAAUGAUCCAAUGUUGACCUAAAUGACUAAUGAUGAUAAAUACAAUCCACCUGUGUGUAAUCAAGUCUCCGUAUAAAUGCACCUGCACUGUGAUAGUCUCAGAGGUCCG